rnacentral:rRNA from 1 species
UUCUGGCUCAGAUUGAACGCUGGCGGCGUGCUUAACACAUGCAAGUCGCGCGUGAAAGGACUUCGGUCCGAGUAAAGCGGCGCACGGGUGAGUAACGCGUGGAUGAUCUACCCAUGAGUUAGGAAUAACGGCUGGAAACGGUCGCUAAUACCAAAUACGCUCCGAUUUCAACUUCGGGGGAAAGGUGGCCUCUGCUUGCAAGCUACUGCUCAUGGAUGAGUCCGCGUCCCAUUAGCUAGUUGGUGGGGUAACGGCCCACCAAGGCGACGAUGGGUAGCCGGUCUGAGAGGAUGACCGGCCACACUGGGACUGGAACACGGCCCAGACUCCUACGGGAGGCAGCAGUGGGGAAUAUUGCGCAAUGGGCGAAAGCCUGACGCAGCGACGCCGCGUGAGGGGAAUGAAGGUCCUCGGAUCGUAAACCUCUGUCAGGAGGGAAGAACCGCCACGGUGCUAAUCAGCCGUGGUCUGACGGUACCUCCAAAGGAAGCACCGGCUAACUCCGUGCCAGCCGCCGC